rnacentral:lncRNA from 1 species
ACUACAAAAAGAUUAAUCCGUACAAUGCAUGAUAUAUAUAAACAAUAAAACAAACAACACACAUGCACACAAACAACUGUCAAAACAACUUAAAUUCCUUCUAUUUUUGUUUGAGUUACAACACAAAAAUUAGCAUGUAAACUCAUAAACUUAACUAACACAAAUCACUAAAUUUUACUAACCUCCAAAUUAAAUCACAAAAUCAAAAUUCCCUUCCCUUUCCAGUUAAUUGCCGCAUUAUGAUUCUCCUCUUCCUUGUCAUGCUCAUCGUCGCUGUCUUCAUAGUCAUCCUCAUCAUCAUCUUCUUCAGCGUCGAUUCCAAGUUUUUCAUUCUCAUGUUUGGAUUUAGGGACAGAGGAAUCGUUGUUUCUAGAAGUUUUGAGAGCAUGACCAUUAGACGAGUAAUUUCAUUCUUUGGCCUAGAUUAUUUCAUCGUUGGCUUGGAGCUUUUGGGAUUUAGAGAGGUUUUCUUCGUCUUGGGAGGUGAGGUCAAGCUUUCCCCCUUUUUCCCUCCCUUAAUUGUUCUAUUUCUUC